AUGCUGAUGACCGUGCAUUUGCAAGGCUGGCUUGCUGGCCUUGCGUGUAUGUUCUCCACCGGCAUUGUUUUCCAAAUCCUGGUACGACCUUGUAGCAAUGGAGAGGGAGUCUUCUUCUGCCCACAAUCUCCAAAGGCCUGCUCCAUCGUCGGCAAGAGGUACAGGACUGACUACCACUUCCAACCCCCGAAGAAUUGGAUCAAUGAUCCAUGUGGAUCAAUGUACUACAAUGGAGUUUACCAUGAAUUCUACCAGUAUAACCCCAAUGGCUCUUAUAAUCCCAAUAUCUCCUAUAACAUUGUUUGGGGCCAUUCGGUUUCAAUGGACCUCAUCAACUGGAUCAAUCUUGAACCCGCAAUAGAACCGGAUACCCCAAGUGACAUAAGUGGUUGCUGGACUGGCUCAGCCACAAUUCUAUCUGGUGAUCAACCGAUCAUCAUAUACACUGGUCUCCUCGACAUACAGAAGCAUCAGGUCCAAAACAUUGCGCUUCCAAAAAACCGGUCUGAUCCAUACCUGAGGGAAUGGACCAAAGCACACAAUAACCCAGUUAUCCAACCGGUCGUACCAGGCUUGAACUCGAGCCAGUUCAGGGAUCCGACAACCGGUUGGAUCGGACCGGAUGGACUAUGGAGAAUAGCAGUUGGUGCUGAGUUGAACGGCUAUAGUGCUGCACUUUUGUACAAGAGUGAAGACUUCUUGAAUUGGACUAGAGUUGAACACCCACUAUAUUCAUCCAAUUCCUCCAAUAUGUGGGAGUGUCUAGAUUUUUUCGCAGUAUUGCCUGGAAGUGGGGGUGGACUGGACUUGUCUUCAGCAAUCCCAAAUGGCGCCAAGCAUGUCCUCAAAGUUAGCAUGAAUUGCACUGAUGACAUGUACAUGAUUGGGGUUUAUGAUCUCAAACGUGAUGCCUUUGUGCCCGAUACUGUCCUAGAUGACAGUCGGCUAUGGCCGAGGAUUGAUUAUGGGAAUUUCUAUGCUUCAAAAUCCUUCUUUGACUCAAAACAUGGCCGAAGGAUCAUAUGGGCUUGGAGUAGCGAGACAGAUAGUUCUUCAGAUGAUGUUGCAAAAGGCUGGGCAGGAAUCCAUUCAAUCCCAAGGACAAUUUGGUUAGACAGCCAUGGCAAGCAGUUGCUGCAAUGGCCAGUUGAAGAGAUUGAGUCCCUUCGAACAAAUGAAAUCAACCAUCAAGCAUUAGAGCUGAAGAAGGGAGAUCUAUUUGAGAUCAAGGGAAUUGAGACUUUGCAGGCUGAUGUCGAGAUAGAUUUUGAGCUGACGUCCAUCAAUGAUGCCGACCCUUUUGAUCCUUCCUGGCUUUUUGACACCGAGAAGCACUGCCGGGAAGCGGGUGCAUCAGUUCAUGGUGGCAUAGGGCCAUUCGGACUUGUUAUUCUGGCCUCCGACAACAUGGAGGAGCACACUGAUGUGCACUUCCGAGUUUACAAAUCACAACAAAAUUACAUGGUCCUCAUGUGCUCUGAUCUAAGAAGGUCUUCCCUGAGACCAGGACUGUACACACCAGCCUAUGGGGGCUUCUUUGAAUUUGACUUUGAAAAGGAAAGAAAGAUAUCUCUCAGAACUCUGAUUGAUCGGUCUGCGGUGGAGAGCUUUGGCGGCGGUGGCAGGGUCUGCAUCAUGGCUAGAGUUUAUCCAGUGGCGCUUGUCGAUGACAUCGGCUGUGCCCACAUGUAUGCCUUCAACAAUGGAAGUGCCACGGUCAUAGUGCCGCAGCUUAGGGCAUGGAGCAUGAGAAGAGCACAAGCGAGUGUUUAA
rnacentral:rRNA from 1 species